rnacentral:rRNA from 1 species
AGUGAACGCUGGCGGUAGGCCUAACACAUGCAAGUCGAACGGCAGCACAGGAGAGCUUGCUCUCUGGGUGGCGAGUGGCGGACGGGUGAGGAAUACAUCGGAAUCUACUCUGUCGUGGGGGAUAACGUAGGGAAACUUACGCUAAUACCGCAUACGACCUACGGGUGAAAGCAGGGGAUCUUCGGACCUUGCGCGAUUGAAUGAGCCGAUGUCGGAUUAGCUAGUUGGCGGGGUAAAGGCCCACCAAGGCGACGAUCCGUAGCUGGUCUGAGAGGAUGAUCAGCCACACUGGAACUGAGACACGGUCCAGACUCCUACGGGAGGCAGCAGUGGGGAAUAUUGGACAAUGGGCGCAAGCCUGAUCCAGCCAUACCGCGUGGGUGAAGAAGGCCUUCGGGUUGUAAAGCCCUUUUGUUGGGAAAGAAAUCCAGCUGGCUAAUACCCGGUUGGGAUGACGGUACCCAAAGAAUAAGCACCGGCUAACUUCGUGCCAGCAGCCGCGGUAAUACGAAGGGUGCAAGCGUUACUCGGAAUUACUGGGCGUAAAGCGUGCGUAGGUGGUCGUUUAAGUCCGUUGUGAAAGCCCUGGGCUCAACCUGGGAACUGCAGUGGAUACUGGGCGACUAGAGUGUGGUAGAGGGUAGCGGAAUUCCUGGUGUAGCAGUGAAAUGCGUAGAGAUCAGGAGGACAUCCAUGGCGAAG